UAAUUAAUCAGAAACAAAUGAAAUAGGAGGACAUUUGGUCCAAAUGUCCUCAUCAUCCCAGAUUCCUAAAAUGCAUCAAAGAAAAUUUCCACCAAUCACUAUAGUUCAUUAGACCUCAAUAUAUUUUGCACGUCAACAUAUCAAAUAUUUCAGUAAUCCUCAAACAAUGCUCUGAUACCAAAUGUCACGACCCGAGUCUGAUGAGCUAACUGGCCAAUAACUCCAUUUUGGUCCUCAACGGCGGACCAAAAUGCUCAAGCAGGAGUUAACGUAGUACACUCAUCAGGCCCUUAUAAGCUAAUCAUACACAUUGCCCACUUCUGAUGUGGGACUAAUGGGAUGUUACACUAUCCCCAACUCAAUUAGCUUGACGUCCUCGUCAAGGUCCAACAUAUCCUAGAUCGAACCCUAGCAUAGUGCAUGUGAGGAUUAACUCAGUGGUGGCUCCACGCCGUGAUGAGUUCUCUGACUCCAUCCACGGGUAGCCAUUUCCUACUCGAGCCCUCUCACCCUACCCUAAUGCUAGGUCG
rnacentral:lncRNA from 1 species